AGGACUCGGCGCACGCGGCCGCGCGCAGCGCUUCACUUCACUUAAUUACGAACACCUGACCUGCAGUGCAGCAGAAUUCAGAGACAUGUAACUUAACGUACUCCAGAGACGCAAUAACUUGCACAGCAUUGAAUGGAAAAGGCUUUGUCCAUGUCCAGUUGAGGGGCAUCAAGAACACGCAGAUGGCCUAAAUCUGUGUCAGCCUGGACAGACUGCAGUUCUGCUAUUCCACGCCAAGGCUUUUGUAUGGAUGUCUGACUACUACUGUGUUCUCUAAAGGUUUUCUGGAAGCUCCAUUUGAGGGCAUCAAGGACAUACUGAUGGCCUAAACCAGUGUCAGCCUAGACAGACAGACAGACAUCUAUUGCAGUUCUGCUACACAAGACCAAACUCUCUGCUUUUGUAUGGAUGUCUGACUAGUACGGUGUUCUCUAAAGGUAUAACUGGAGCAAAACAACAGCAUCCGUUACAGUGAAAUUUGUGUUCAUAAAAGAUAGUGAAAUAUGUGUAACAGGUCUAGUACAUUUGUCAUAAAGGUUAAAUCACAGUAAGUACUGUAAAAAUAACUUGUUUGCCUUUGCCACAACAGGUCAUGGUGUGUGCUUACUGCUCGUAGUAAACACACACGCUGAUCUGAUGCGGGAGAGAUAUACGCAAACACAUUUGUAUUUACUGUUUUGUUUUGCCUCACUAAAGUGUUGUUGGAGCUUGGUAUGUUCACAGUUGAAAUCACUGAAGUCACAUGGAACGUUUUGACAAUGUGUUUUGUGCCUUAUCUUGACAAUGACCAUCUUGGGACCAUUGCUGUCUGUAGAGGAUGAGGAGCAUUUAAUCUAAAAUAUUUUAGUUUGUUCUGAAGAUUAACAGGUCUCUGGGAUGACACAAGUAAUUAAUAACAGAACCUAUAUGAACACUUAAUGUGACAUGUAAUAGUGAAAUAGUGGUCCUACAUUCACAAAUGUGAGCCAUUAUUAUAAGACCCCUAUGAACAUGCAAUUUUUAUGAUACUAAUAAUAAUGGAAUAACUAAUUGCUAUUACUGUUGUGUUUGUGAGAGAGAAUCAAACCAUAUAUUCUACACAUUUUCUUGAUGAUUUACUGAAAUAUUUGUCUAUGUUCCACUGUCACAGGUGCUCAGUUUUGCUGCAGUAAUGCUAAACACAAUAGAUGUACUUUAUGCAAAAAAAACAACAAAAAACUACUAAAUAUUUACCAUGCAGACCUGCAAAGUGAAGGAGUAAUGUCAGGUUUAGAUUAUAGCAGUUUUUCACUAUUGAGAAAGUGAAGCCAUUCAUUCACAAUGAAUUGGAAUAGCAAACCUCAUUAUUGAUUUUGUAGGAUACUCACCUGGUGUUUGAGAAAUAAAUAUGUAUUUAACUGCUAGACUGAUAUAGAUGUUUUAGUGUUUUACACUUGAUUCUUUGUCCCCAGUAACAUCUUUUACCUCAAGUGUUUCUCAAAACCUAUAAAACCUCAAACAGAUGUAAUGUAU
ensembl:processed_transcript